CUUCCGGUGGCGAUUUCUCUUCAGGUAUGGUCACAUAUAUGUUUUCAAUUAGCAUUUUGACAAUGAAUAUAUAAAUUGUUUUGAUAUUUUCUAUUAAGUUAACGUUUUAUUGAAUGUAGAAGUGGAGCCUUGCUAGUUGUUGGCAAUGGCAUUACCGCCUUAGCACGUUUAGUAUUGCGUUAAGUAUCGAUAUUUUUCCCCCCUCGGAGGCUACUCUGAUCUUUUACUACUAGAAUUCUUUACUUUAUAGCCUUAGAUAUCUAUCUUUUCUGUUCUUUUUAGUCAGACUAAAGAUGUAAGUUAGGAGUACUAUUAGAGAGCCAACGGGUUGAUGCAUGUAAAGCA
rnacentral:misc_RNA from 1 species